CUAAAAAUGGCUGGGUUAUUUUUUAACCCAAAAUGCUGGGUUGAGUCUGUUGGGUUGUUUUGCUGGGUUAUUUUUUUACAUUUUAAACACUUUUUGGGUAGUUUCAGUUUUCUAGGUGUUGGGUUAAAACUGCUGGGUUAUUAUGUUGGGUUGUUUGAAGAGGCUCACGUGCUUCGCGCCCUUGAUGUUUGAAUGUGCUCAGCAAUGGUCGUCGUGAAAGGACAGAGUCACUGAAGCAGUUGUUUCAAGAGUGUGCAGAGUUUUUAUGUCCAUCCAUUGAUGAGGCUAGCAAGACCUUCAAACAACUUCAGCCAAUUGCAACAAAUGUGGUGGAAUUUCUUCUCUGGACAGAAUCCUCGAAACCCUUUCCUUUCGUCCUGGCCAUGGGAAACAUGCAGCAGACCUCUCAAUCUUUUUUCUCAAUCAGUCUCUCUGAAUACGGAAGUGACUUAAACUGCAAUUCGGCCAAGAUGGCGACGGCACGCACCGCCUACUUUAAGCUUCAAAAAUGCUCUUCACAAACCAAUGGGUGACGUCACAGACACUACUUGCAUAUUUUUUACAGUCUCUGGUUUAAAGGCAUUUUAAGUGCUUAAAAAAAUAAAUACCCCAGGCAAUGUGCUUCUAUGGGAAUUCCUGUAGUCUGUCAUUUUUCAAAUGGAUGAAUCCCCUGCUGUUCGAUUCCUUUGUACAUCUUUGUUCGCGACGAGUAACUUUAAUAAAUGAAGUAUUUUUAGUCAAAUACAUUCCAUUCUGUGAAACUUAAAACAUUUGUUCUUUAAAAAAACUUUACA